ACCAUGUUGGCCAGGCUGGUCUCAAACUCCUGACCUCAGGCAAUCUGCCCACCUUGGCCUCCUAAAGUGCUGGGAUUAUAGGCAUGAGCCACCACGCCUAGCCUGUAUAUCUUCUUUGAUGAAGUGUCUGUUCAGGUCUUUGGCCCAUUUUUUGAUUGGGUUGUUUAUUUUUUUUUAUUGUUUAGUUUUGAGAGUUCUUUGUAUAACAAAUUCUUUUGGAUAAUAGACCUUUGUCAGGUGGGUGUUUUUCAAAUAUUUUCCCCCAGUCUUUGGUUUUUCUUCUCAUCCUCUUGACAUUGUCUUUGAGUAGUAGACAAUUUGAAUUUUAGUGAAGUUCAGGUUAUCAGUUCUUUCUUUCUUGGGUUAUGUCUUUGGUGCUAUAUCUAAAAAACCAUUGCUCUAAUCAAGAUAAUUUAGGUUUUCUCCUAUGCUAUCCUCUAGAAGAUAUAAGGUCUGGUCUUGAUUCUUUUUUUUUUUUUUGCAUGUAGAUAUUCAGUUAUUCCAGCAACAUUUGUUCAAUCCAUCGUAUUGCCUCUGCUCUUUCUGUUAAUUUUCAGAAGUGAAACUGGUUGAUAGUUGUUUUCUCGUACAGUCACCUGCCCUUACCUGUAGUUUUGCUUUCUACAAUUUCAGUUGCCCGCAGUCAACCAGGGUCUGAAAAUAUUACAUACAAUAAGGUAUUUUGAAAGAGAGAGAGAGACCAUAUUCAUAUAGCUUCUAUUAAAGUAUAUUGUAUAAUUGUUCUUAUAAUUCUUUUUUUUUUUUUUUUGACAUGAAGUCUCGCUGUUGUCCCCCAGGCUGGAGUGCAAUGGCACGAUUACGGCUCACUGCAACCUCUGCCUCCCGGGUUCAAGCGAUUCUCCUGCCUUAGCCUCCCGAAUAGCUGGGAUUACAGGUGCCUGCCGCCACGCCUGGCUAAUUUUUGUAUUUUUAGUAGAGAUGGGGAUUCACCAUGUUGGCCAGGCUGGUCUCGACCUCCUGACCUCAGGGGAUCUGCCCGCCUUGGCCUCCCAAAGUGCUGGGAUUACAGGCAUGAGCCACUGCUCCCGGCCUGUUCUUAU
rnacentral:lncRNA from 1 species